GCCGGGGUGGUGAAAUGGUAGACACAGGGCACUUAAAAUGCCCCGGCUUCGGCCGUGCGGGUUCGAUUCCCGCCCCCGGCA
rnacentral:tRNA from 1 species